UGGGGAAUAUUGCACAAUGGGCGCAAGCCUGAUGCAGCCAUGCCGCGUGUGUGAAGAAGGCCUUCGGGUUGUAAAGCACUUUCAGCGAGGAGGAAGGCAUUAAGGUUAAUAACCUUAGUGAUUGACGUUACUCGCAGAAGAAGCACCGGCUAACUUCGUGCCAGCAGCCGCGGUAAUACGGAGGGUGCAAGCGUUAAUCGGAAUUACUGGGCGUAAAGCGCACGCAGGCGGUUUGUUAAGUCAGAUGUGAAAUCCCCGAGCUUAACUUGGGGAACUGCA
rnacentral:rRNA from 1 species